UUUCCGUAGGUGAACCUGCGGAGGGAUCAUUCAUAAUAAAGUGUUUUAUGGCACUUUUUAAAAAUCCAUAUCCACCUUGUGUGCAAUGUUAGAUCUCGUCAAUCUUGGCGAGAUUUUUAUACAUCAACUCAUUCUUUAACUAAUUUGUCUGAAAAAUAUUAUGAAUACUUAAUUCAAAAUACAACUUUCAACAACGGAUCUCUUGGCUCAC
rnacentral:misc_RNA from 1 species